UAACGAAGGGGCUAGCGUUGCUCGGAAUCACUGGGCGUAAAGGGCGCGUAGGCGGCGUUUUAAGUCGGGGUGAAAGCCUGUGGCUCAACCACAGAAUGGCCUCGAUACUGGGACGCUUGAGUAUGGUAGAGGUUGGUGGAACUGCGAGUGUAGAGGUGAAAUUCGUAGAUAUUCGCAAGAACACCGGUGGCGAAGGCGGCCAACUGGACCAUUACUGACGCUGAGGCGCGAAAGCGUGGGGAGCAAAACAGG
rnacentral:rRNA from 1 species